ACAGUAAUACACAUAAUAUUUUUCUGUCCUAUAGGCUGUAGUGGACCAGUUAGAAGGACAGACCAUGCAGGUCAACAUGUUUGAUGAAGACCCUGGCAGCAAGGACGACCCACUGGGAAAUGCUGCAGUCAGCAUCUCAGAAGUGGUGAAGAUGGGAUUCAGUGAUAUGUGGUUGCCGUUGGAGGAUGCUACGACAGGCCAGGUGCACCUUCGGAUGUCGUGACUCAGCCUGAGCUCACAGAUGGAGGCCCUGGAUAAG